rnacentral:rRNA from 1 species
AUGCCAGAAGAAUGGAAACGGAGUAUAUUAGUACCAAUCUUCAAGAACAAGGGGGAUGUUCAGAGUUGUACUAAUUACCGUGGAAUUAAGCUGAUGAGCCAUACAAUGAAGCUAUGGGAGAGAGUCAUUGAGCACCGCUUAAGAAGAAUGACAAGCGUGACCAAAAAUCAGUUUGGUUUCAUGCCUGGGAGGUCGACCAUGGAAGCCAUUUUCUUGGUACGACAACUUAUGGAGAGAUAUAGGGAGCAUAAGAAGGACUUGCAUAUGGUGUUCAUUGACUUGGAGAAGGCCUAUGAUAAGAUACCGCGGAAUGUCAUGUGGUGGGCCUUGGAGAAACACAAAGUCCCAGCAAAGUACAUUACCCUCAUCAAGGACAUGUACAAUAAUGUUGUGACAAGUGUUCGAACAAGUGAUGUCGACACCAAUGACUUCCCUAUUAAGAUAGGACUGCAUCAGGGGUCAGCUUUGAGCCCUUAUCUUUUUGCAUUGGUGAUGGAUGAGGUCACAAGGGGUAUACAAGGAGAUAUCCCAUGGUGUAUGCUCUUUGCGGAUGAUGUGGUGCUAGUUGACGAUAGUCGGACGGGGGUAAAUAGGAAGUUAGAGUUAUGGAGACAAACCUUGGAAUCGAAAGGGUUUAGGCUUAGUAGAACUAAAACCGAGUACAUGAUGUGUGGUUUCAGUACUACUAGCUGUGAGGAGGAGAAGGUUAGCCUUGAUGGCCAGGUGGUACCUCGGAAGGACACCUUUCGGUAUUUGGGGUCAAUGUUGCAGGAGGAUGGGGGUAUUGAUGAAGAUGUGAACCAUCGAAUCAAAGCCGGAUGGAUGAAGUGGCGCCAAGCUUCUGGCAUUCUCUGUGACAAGAGAGUGCCACAAAAGCUAAAAGGCAAGUUCUACAGGACGGCGGUUCGACCCGCAAUGUUGUAUGGCGCGGAGUGUUGGCCGACUAAAAGGCGACAUGUUCAACAGUUAGGUGUGGCGGAGAUGCGUAUGUUGAGAUGGAUGUGUGGCCACACGAGGAAGGAUCGAGUCCGGAAUGAUGAUAUACGAGAUAGAGUUGGGGUAGCACCAAUUGAGGAGAAGCUUGUCCAACAUCGUUUGAGAUGGUUUGGGCAUAUUCAGCGCAGGCCUCCAGACUAUUAA